CAUAGUAGUAAUAAAAAAAUUGUAAUCGAACGUUAUUUUUAUAAAUUGCAAAUCAUUGACUUGUAUAUGCACAAAAUAUAUUUCGUUAAGAUGAAUUCGAUUAAGCGAUACGUUGCAAUUAAUAAUAAUUAUUCAUUAUUAGAAGAUGGAAUGAUAGGUGAAGUUACGUUAAAAAAUCUUCUCUCUCUUUCUUUCUUUUUAUAAUUGGAAUAUAAUCAGCAUAUACAAUUUCCUGUAAUAAUUCCAAUGAUAUUUAAAAUAAAGUAAGACUUUAAUUGUCAUUUAACAGGACUUUCGCUCACACAAACAUAAUUAUGAAUGUGUAUGAAUAAGUAACCUCUUUUCUCCAUGACUUUUAGAAUUUAAACAAGAUAGUAACGUUAAGAAACGUAUAAUGAGUAUUACGUUUUAAUUCACGCAAUAUUUUUAUUAAUCCAAUUAAUUUAUUUGUACUUUCAACAAUAAUUACAUACAUUUGAUUACAAAGAUGAUAAAAUAGUCUUUAGAAACUUGUAAACCUUUUCUUGCGAGCGUCGUGCAAUCUCGUAGGAAACAGCAAAGAGAUUACCCACCGUGAGAAUGUAAAGGUACCAUUCGGUACCACUCUCUGCUCUGACGACGUCAGCAAACAAGCACUCGUCUCUUUUUAAAGCGAACCAAGAGACACGAAAUAAAAAACAAUGCGUGCUUUGAACAUUCCCGGUGAAUCUGAUUCCCUUUUUCCUUUUUUCGCACGUACGUACGUAAAUGCAUAUAUGUGCGACACUUUCAAUUAGAUAUAUCGCGAAAAAAUGGAGGACAAGAAUGGAGAACAAAAAUGGAGAACAAAAAAGAAGAAGAAGAAGAAGAAGAAACAACAAACACACAACAACAAAUUGGAAUAAAUUAUUAUUUCUAAACUAUUGAUGUGUGUGGCAAUUACCAAUCUAUCCAUCCAGACACUGUUACUAUGACGUAUAAUAUUUCUACGCGAGGCCGCAUAACGGAAUUUGGAUCCUUGACAUUUUUGAAUGAAGCGCUUCUACGGUCGAUCCUAGUCAUUGAAUAUUUUUCUAUUACUUUAUAUUCCAAACAAUCUACUUGUACUUUAUAUAUUCAAUAUAUUUCAAUUAACUUACAGAUAUAUCACGUACGAGAUUCCAAUGAUCUUUAAUAUCAAAAAUAUAUUUAAAAAAAAAAAACAAUAGACGAGGAAAUUUACGGAUUUUCAUUUUUACAUAUAAAUUUUACGUAUUCAUUUGUGCUCACACACUUGGUUCGGAUAUACGCAAGAAAAAAAUACAACUCUUCAGAUACGCAAAAUGCGCAAAAGAACAACAUGUAAUUUAGUCUCAAGAUACACAAAACUUACACAAUCCAGCACGUAACUGCAUUUGCGAGAUGACAAAGAUAAGAAAUGCGACUCGGAUAUAACCCAGAUAUCGAAGUUGAUGCUAUUAUUCGGGUAACGAAACGAAUUUGUUUCUUUUUUUUUUUUGCGAAAGGUUCGGAAAAACUGGAACAGAUUUUUCUCCGAGAAGAAGAGGAAUGAAAACGUAAAAGAAAAAAAAAAAUAAAAACAAAUUUAUGUAGGAAUGCUUUGGAUCUAGGAGAAGAAGAAAAAUUUUCAUUGAAUUCGGUUUUAUUAAAGCGUCACGUGUGUAGUAUAUCUAUAUCAAAGCGUGUCAUUUCCGAGGCACUUUAAAUCCCGUGAAUACGCUUUUCCGCACGUACCACGUAGAUUUGGAAAAUUCCGUCCGACGUAACUCUCUGAGAAGCCUUUUUUUUCUUCUUCUUCUUCUUCUUCCUUCUUUUUCUUCCCGCCCCCGUCACUUUUUCAAUUUGUCCUUCCCGUCAUUAGAAGCGUCGUCUUGUCGUCGUGUCGUGUUGGUGGUAGUGAGGUAUAUGUAUGUAUGUAUGUAUGUGUCUGUUGUGUGUGUAUGUGCAUGCAUGUGAUAGUUAAAUGCAAAAGGCUUUCAUCAGAGAUAUCGCGUAUUCUCUUUAUUAGAUUAUGUAAAGAAAAUCUUUCAAUGUUCAGAAAUUUAAUGGACCAAUUACGUACGAAAUAUUAUCUUUUUACCGAUUAUGAUUAAUUACGUUUGAUUAGUCUGUUUUGUUUGCUUCUUUUUCUUCUUCUUCUUCUUCUUCUACAACAAAUACAACAAUUAAAUCACGAGUAUAUUAUCUUUUUGAGUAAAUAUUAAAGAAUCGUGUCAUUUAUGAUUGGAAUAUGAAUUUUUGUUAUAACGCAUAGUACCGAAAUGAUGGAACAACAUGAGCAUAAUAAACAAUAUGGUCGUUUUUAUUUAAAGUUGGCAAGUGGAUAAGAUGAACGUGAUAUGAAUUUAUGAAAAGUUAACGUGUAGGUCGUUCAUCGAUUGUCUGGUCUUAUCUUUCAUUUCAAAGCCAUUACAAUAGCGUUAUUCGAACGAUUAGAGAUCGCAUGCAGAAAUAUAACAACAACGAAUGGCAUUGUUAAUAAAGCCAAUAUCAAUUUGCAUUUUAAUAUUCGUUAAAUGUAAUCAUCGUUCUCUCGGUGUUUAAUUCGAUUUAAUAUUGAAAAUAGCACGGAUAAUAGUAAAGCAAAUAAAACGAAUCAUCGAUUAUAUUUUUUUUCUUUAUACUCUUUUAAUCGAGAUUCUUCUUUUCAGAAAAAACAAAAAAAAAAACAAGAAGAAAAACAGAAAGAAAAAAGGAUCUGGAGUAUAGAAAAGAAACGUAUAAAUUUCCAACUUGUUUGAAAAGAUGGUCGAGUAAGAAGAAGAAGAAGAAGAAGAAGAAGAAGAAGAAGAAGAAGAAGAAGAAGAAGCAGGUAUAUAAAUAGGAACAGGUACCCUACACCUGUAAACCGUAGGGAAAGCCUACCUUAACUCAACCUAUUUUAUUACCAUACUUUUUCUCAUUGUAUUUUUCAAUGUCCAUAUUAGUAAAGCUUGUAAUGAAGACGAAGAAGAAGAAAAAGAAUGAAAAAAAAAAAAAAAAAAAAAAAAAAUAACAGAUGUAUGCAAAGUUCUCACUAUAUAGUUCUAUCUGCUGGUUACAAGAUAAUUAUGGAAGAGAAAAAGGUGCUGAUGACAUUUGUGCAACAGGGAAGAGAGAUAACGUUUGGAAUGUGGGUGUUACAAAUGAUAAAAAAGAGAGAGAGAUAAAAUGAAAAUAAUUCGAAUAUAUGCU